rnacentral:rRNA from 1 species
UACGUAGGGGGCAAGCGUUGUCCGGAAUCAUUGGGCGUAAAGAGCGUGUAGGCGGUCCGGUAAGUCGGCUGUGAAAGUCCAGGGCUCAACCCUGGGAUGCCGGUCGAUACUGCCGGACUAGAGUUCGGAAGAGGCGAGUGGAAUUCCCGGUGUAGCGGUGAAAUGCGCAGAUAUCAGGAGGAACACCGGUGGCGAAGGCGACACACUGGCUCACUACUGACGCUGAGGCGCGAAAGCGUGGGGAGCAAACAGG